rnacentral:rRNA from 1 species
UAUUAUUUAAAAUGUAAAUUUUUAUACUAAAGUAGUAAUAGUUAUGUUCUUGAAACUUAAAAAAUUUGGCGGUAUUUUAGUCUAUCCAGAGGAACCUGUUUUGUAAUCGAUAAUCCACGAUGGACCUUACUUAAAUUUGUAGUCAGUUUAUAUACCGUCGUUAUCAGAAUAUUUUAUAAGAAUAAUAAUAUUCAAUAAUUUUAAUUAAAAUUUAUAUCAGAUCAAGGUGUAGCUAAUAUUUAUGUAAUAAUGGGUUACAAUAAAUUUAUUUAAACGAAUAAAACUAUGAAAAAGUUUUUGAAGGUGGAUUUGGUUGUAAAAUUAUAAAGAUUAAUAAUUUGAUUUUAGCUCUAAAAUAUGUACACAUCGCCCGUCGCUCUUAUUAUUAAGGUAAGAUAAGUCGUAACAUAGUAGAUGUACUGGAAAGUGUAUCUAGAAUGA